rnacentral:tRNA from 1 species
GCGCGGGUAGCUCAAUUGGAUAGAGCGUCGGCCUCCGGAGCCGAAGGUUGAGAGUUCGACCCUCUCCCCGCGCACCA